GAUGAACGCUGGCGGCGUGCCUAAUACAUGCAAGUCGAGCGAACAGACGAGGAGCUUGCUCCUCUGACGUUAGCGGCGGACGGGUGAGUAACACGUGGAUAACCUACCUAUAAGACUGGGAUAACUUCGGGAAACCGGAGCUAAUACCGGAUAAUAUAUUGAACCGCAUGGUUCAAUAGUGAAAGACGGUUUUGCUGUCACUUAUAGAUGGAUCCGCGCCGCAUUAGCUAGUUGGUAAGGUAACGGCUUACCAAGGCAACGAUGCGUAGCCGACCUGAGAGGGUGAUCGGCCACACUGGAACUGAGACACGGUCCAGACUCCUACGGGAGGCAGCAGUAGGGAAUCUUCCGCAAGGGGCGAAAGCCUGACGGAGCAACGCCGCGUGAGUGAUGAAGGUCUUCGGAUCGUAAAACUCUGUUAUUAGGAAAGAACAAAUGUGUAAGUAACUAUGCACGUCUUGACGGUACCUAACCAGAAAGCCACGGCUAACUACGU
rnacentral:rRNA from 1 species